AGAGUUUGAUCCUGGCUCAGAACGAACGCUGGCGGCAGGCUUAACAAAUGCAAGUCGAACGAUGUAGCAAUACAUAGUGGCGCACGGGUGAGUAACGCGUGGGAAUAUACCUUAUAGUGGGGAAUAACUUUGGGAAACUAAAGCUAAUACCGCAUACGCCCGAGAGGGGAAAGAUUUAUCGCUAUAAGAUUAGCCCGCGUGAGAUUAGGUAGUUGGUGGGGUAAUGGCCUACCAAGCCUACGAUCUCUAGCUGGUCUGAGAGGAUGAUCAGCCACACUGGAACUGAGACACGGUCCAGACUCCUACGGGAGGCAGCAGUGGGGAAUAUUGGGCAAUGGAGGAAACUCUGACCCAGCCAUGCCGCGUGAAUGAUGAAGGCCUUAGGGUUGUAAAGUUCUUUCGCCGAUGAAGAUAAUGACGGUAGUCGGAGAAGAAGCCCCGGCUAACUUCGUGCCAGCAGCCGCGGUAAUACGAAGGGGGCUAGCGUUGUUCGGAAUUACUGGGCGUAAAGCGAGCGUAGGUUGCUCGAUAAGUCAGUGGUGAAAGCCCAGAGCUCAACUCUGGAACUGCCAUUGAAACUGUCGAGCUGGAAUCUCAGAGGGGGUAGCGGAAUUCCAAAUGUAGGGGUGAAAUCCGUAGAUAUUUGGAGGAACACCGGUGGCGAAGGCGGCUACCUGGAUGAGUAUUGACACUGAGGCUCGAAAGCGUGGGGAUCAAACAGGAUUAGAUACCCUGGUAGUCC
rnacentral:rRNA from 1 species